UAGCUUUGACUGAAGUCAAACUUUAUAAAGUUUAACCAAGCUUGUAGAAAACAAUAUGAACAUUUACAGUAACAAAUUUAUAUGAUGUGAAAAUAUAUGCAAUGAUGAAUCCAAUGAUACAUAUUUGGUGGUGUAUAUGUUAAUAUAUUUUUCUACAAACUUGUUGAAAUUAUAUAAAGUUUGACUUUAGACAAACCUAA
rfam:Triticum aestivum genome assembly, contig: Triticum_aestivum_CS42_TGACv1_scaffold_362843_4DS